rnacentral:rRNA from 1 species
UAAGAAUUUAAAAGUCGAACAGACUUACUACUAAGACUACUGCUUCUUAGAAUUUUCUUAAUUCAACAUCGAGGUCGCAAAAUAUAAUAUAGAUAUGAACUCCCCAUUAAAAUUACGCUGUUAUCCCUAAGGUAACUUAUUCUUAUUAUCCUAAUUUAGGGAUCUAAAACCACAUAAACAAAUGAACACAAAAACUAAAGUUAGUUAUUUAACUGCCACCCCAGCAAAAUAUAAUUUAAUAUUAAAAAGUAUAUAAAUUAAAACCCAAUAAGAAAAAACUAUAUAAAGUUCUAUAGGGUCUUAUCGUCCCAAUAAUCCAAUAAAGCAUUUUGACUUUAAAUUUAAAUUUUAACACUUAAAGAAAUAAAAUAUAAUUCACAUACAUCCUUUCAUACAAGCUUUCAAUUAAAAAACUAAUUACUAUGCUACCUUUGCACAGUCAAAAUACUGCAGCCAUUUAGAAACAACCAUAGGGCAGAAGAUACCUUUCAUAUAAACCG